AUCUACAAAUUCAUAUGCAGUUGCAGAGAUGCAAAAGAGAUCAGAGUAAAAGUAUGAAAGGUUUUAGAAGUACCUAGUCUCUAGUAGCAUGCUCUGAUAGCUGUGUCCUCAUCUGCAUUUAAUUUUUCUUUUUAUGAUAGGGCUGAUAUUUUCAACAACUAAACACCCGAAUGUUCAGACCUUACCUCAGUCUAAGAGCUGGCUCCACAGUUGGUAGCAAUGGCCCUGUUAGGCAGACUGUCCCCCUCUUUGGGAACGGCAAGAAGCCCUGCUUGGAUGCAUGGAGUGGAUGGAUACUGACACCAAGGACAUUCAGAUUUUCUUUCCUAUACCUAUUUUCAUAAAACUUGGAAAGACAAACUAUUUGCAGCAUUUUUUAAAAACCACUUCUGCCAUUCUUACUUAGGUAAAUCCAGAGAUAGCACCUAAUGUCUUCAGAGGAGACAGAAGUUCAAGGAGUUAAAUGUCACAUUCAUACUCAGGUAGCAGAGAAGAAUAAAACACAUCAGGUUUGCUUCAUCUAUCCUAAGUGGUGCUUAGAGGUUCAGGAAAAAUGUCUCAAGUACAGGAUAUUAAUGAGCAAUAUUUACAAUGUAUUUUAAUAAAAGGGAUUUUUCUAGUUAACUCUGAGUUAAGCACAAACUUUUGUUAAUUGUUGGAAAUACCAUUAAGAUGUAUUUGUCUGUUUUUCUGCAUUGGCAAGUAAAGAACACCAAACAAGUAUU